GAUGAACGCUGACAGAAUGCUUAACACAUGCAAGUCUAUGAGAAGAUCUACUUCGGUAGAAGGUAUCAUGGCGGACGGGUGAGUAACGCGUAAAGAACUUGCCUCUUAGACUGGGAUAACAGAUGGAAACGUCUGAUAAGACUAGAUAUAAUAGCGACAUGGCAUCAUGUUGUUAUGAAAGGUAACACUAAGAGAGAGCUUUGCGUCCUAUUAGUUAGUUGGUGAGGUAAUGGCUCACCAAGACGAUGAUAGGUAGCCGGCCUGAGAGGGUGAACGGCCACAAGGGGACUGAGAUACGGCCCUUACUCUUACGGGAGGCAGCAGUGGGGAAUAUUGGACAAUGGAGGAAACUCUGAUCCAGCAAUUCUGUGUGCACGAUGAAGGUUUUCGGAUCGUAAAGUGCUUUCAGUAGGGAAGAAGAAAGUGACGGUACCUACAGAAGAAGCGACGGCUAAAUACGUGCCAGCAGCCGCGGUAAGAU
rnacentral:rRNA from 1 species